CGCGUCACUUCCGGCCUGCCCGCGGCGGCCGCUCCCUGUCAGGCAGCCGGUUCCCCCUGGGCGGGCCCGGACGGGCUGCCUUUCAAUGUCGGAGGCCGGCGCCCGGCAGCGCCCGCUCGCCGAACCCGAGCACUGUCCACGCUCAGGGCUCCCGGCCGCGAGCACCAUGGCGUCCCGGCCUGCGCGUCGCCUGCCGCCCAGACGCGGAGGCUCAGCCUGAGGCUCCUGAGGAACCGGGGUCGCGGCCGGGUCCUCCGCUCCCAUCCGUCUCCCAACUCCCGCCCCCACCCCGCCCCUGGGGCUCGGCCGUCGGGCGCUCGACGCUCGACUGCGCGGCGGAUCGACGCCCUCGGCGCUCCGGCAGCGGAAGUGAGGGCGUUGGCGGCGGGGCGGCCGCGGCCAGGGAGCCCUUGGUCGAGCGCGGGGCCCUGUCCGUGCGGGCCUGCAGAUUACUUCUGUAGCUUGACCUCUGCUUUCCUCAACAAGCAGAAUGUCUCGAUCACGACAACCCCCCCUUGUGACAGGCAUCUCUCCAAAUGAAGGAAUCCCGUGGACAAAGGUCACGAUUAGAGGAGAAAACCUAGGAGCUGAGCCAGCUGACCUCAUAGGUCUGACAAUUUGUGGGCACAAUUGCCUUCUGACAGCAGAGUGGAUGUCUACAAGUAAAAUUGUAUGUCACGUGGGACAGGCCAAGAACGACAAAGGAGACAUUAUUGUCACAACCAAGUCAGGUGGCAAAGGAACCUCCACAGUCUCCUUCAAGCUGCUCAGACCUGAGAAAAUAGGUAUUUUGGAUCAGUCUGCUGUGUGGGUUGAUGAGAUGAAUUACUAUGACAUGCGCACUGACAGGAAUAAAGGGAUUCCUCCCUUGUCCCUGCGUCCUGCUAAUCCACUCGGCAUCGAGAUUGAAAAAGGUAAAUUUCCCCAGAAGGACUUAGAAACGCUGUUCCCUGGAAUGAGUGCUGAUUUUACAAGUGAGAACUUUUCGGCUGCCUGGUACCUCAUAGAGAACCACUCCAACGCCAGUUUUGAACAGCUCAAAAUGGCCGUCACCCACCUGAAGAGGCAGGCUAACAAGAAGAGCGAGGGCAGCCUGGCGUGCGUGAAAGGGGGACUCAGUACUUUCUUUGAGGCACAGGACGCCCUCUCAGCCAUCCAUCAAAAACUAGAAGCGGAUGGAACGGAAAAAGUAGAAGGGUCCAUGACGCAGAAACUGGAGAAUGUUCUGAACAGAGCAAGUAACACUGCGGACACAUUAUUUCAAGAAGUCUUAGGUCGUAAGGACAAGGCAGAUUCCACUAGAAAUGCACUCAAUGUGCUCCAGCGAUUUAAGUUUCUUUUCAACCUUCCUCUAAAUAUUGAAAGGAAUAUCCAAAAGGGUGAUUAUGAUGUGGUUAUUAAUGAUUAUGAAAAGGCCAAGUCACUUUUUGGGAAAACGGAGGUGCAAGUUUUCAAGAAAUAUUAUGCUGAAGUAGAAACACGGAUUGAAGCUUUAAGAGAAUUACUUCUGGAUAAGUUGCUUGAGACACCAUCGACCUUACAUGACCAAAAACGUUAUAUAAGGUACCUGUCUGACCUCCACGCGCCAGGCGACCCUGCGUGGCAGUGCAUCGGAGCCCAGCACCGAUGGAUCCUCCAGCUCAUGCACAGCUGCCAGGAGGGCUGCGUGCGGGACCUCAAAGGGCCACCGGGCCUUCACAGCGCCACGCUGGACCUGGACGGCGACGUGCGUGCCUCCGUGCCGGGUCACCUAGGCCAGACGGCGUCUCUGAAGAGGGGCAGCAGCUUUCAGCCUGGUCGAGAUGACGCAUGGAGAUACCAAACUCCCCACCGGGUGGCAUUUGUUGAAAAAUUGACCAAGCUUGUUUUAAGUCAGCUGCCCAACUUCUGGAAACUCUGGAUUUCGUAUGUUAAUGGAAGCCUUUUCAGUGAGACUGCUGAGAAGUCAGGCCAUAUUGAAAGAUCAAAGAAUGUAAGGCAAAGACAAAAUGAUUUUAAGAAAAUGAUCCAGGAAGUAAUGCACUGUCUGGUGAAGCUGCUCCGCGGGGCUCUGCUCCCGCUCAGCGUCGCGGAGGGCGGAGGGCGGCAGUGCAGAGGCUGGGAAGUGAAGGCCGAGCUCUCUGGGCAGGGGCUCGCUCACGCCAUCCAGACUCUCCGGCUUACUUAUGAAUCCUUGACUGCCCUUGAGAUUCCUAAUGACCUGUUACAGACGAUCCAGGACCUCAUCUUGGAUCUUCGAGUGCGUUGUGUGGUGGUUACACUGCAGCACACAGCGGACGAAGUAAAGAGAUUGGCUGAAAAGGAAGACUGGGUUGUCGACAGUGAAGGCCUGACGUCCCUACCGUGCCAGUUUGAGCGCUGCGUGGUGCACUCACUGCAGUCGCUGCGAGACGUCCUGGAGUGCAAGCCCGGAGAAGCCAGCGUCUUUCAACAACCGAAAACCCAGGAAGAGGUUUGCCAACUAAGCGUCAGUAUCAUGCAGGUUUUUAUAUACUGUCUGGAACAGUUGAGCACCAAGCCUGAUGCCGAUGUAGAUACUGCACAUCUCUCCGUUGACGUUUCUUCUCCUGAUUUGUUUGGAAGUAUCCAUGAAGACUUUAGUUUGACUUCUGAACAGAGACUUUUGAUAGUCCUGAGUAAUUGCUGCUACCUAGAACGUCACACCUUCCGAAAUAUCGCAGAACAUUUUGAAAAGCACAACUUCCAGGGAGUAGAGAAAAUAACACAGGUUAGCAUGGCCUCACUGAAAGAGUUGGACCAAAGACUCUUUGAAAACUACAUUGAAUUGAAGGCAGACCCCAUCGUUGGCUCCUUAGAACCUGGAAUUUACGCAGGCUACUUCGACUGGAAGGACUGCCUGCCCCCAACAGGUGUCAGAAACUACUUAAAAGAAGCGUUGGUGAAUAUAAUUGCUGUGCAUGCAGAGGUGUUCACUAUUUCCAAAGACCUGGUGCCUCGGGUGCUGUCCAGGGUGGUGGAAGCAGUUUCUGAAGAGCUGAGUAGGCUGAUGCAGUGCGUCUCAUCCUUCAGCAAAAACGGAGCAUUGCAGGCAAGGCUUGAAAUCUGCACCCUGAGGGACACCGUGGCUGCUCACCUGACGCCCGAGAGCAGAUCCAGUUUCAAGCAGGCCCUGGAAGCCCUGCCGCAGCUCUCGAGCGGAGCGGACAGAAAGCUGCUGGAGUUGCUGCUGAGCCGGGUCAGGAGCAGCGUGCACCUGCAGCUGGCCUGCUUCCAGGCCACCCCUCCGCCUGCCGUGAAGACGCAGGUGCCUUCCAGAUGACGCGCUCCCCCGAGCGCCCACAGCUGCAUGCUGCAUGGUGAAGGCUGCGGAAGACGGGGCAGCUCAGGCCUACACCGAAGCAUCUUCCGGGGCCUCCUGCAGCUUCCAGGGCACAUGGGGCAGCGACGAGAGAUUCAUCAGGAAGUUACAUCACUCGUGACAUCGGGCCUCUUUUGUGUGACUCGCCCUGAACCUGACGUGGGCUUCACGGCAUCGUGCCUCCUGCCCCAGGACCCCCUUGCACGCGUGGGGAGCGGCGGGCCCCGGCGCCUCGCCCGCGCCGUCCCUCUGGCACCUUCCGCGCCACUUCUAGCCCCUCGGGUGGCCUGCUCGGUGGCCGCGGGGGCUCUGCUCUGGUGGCAUCUGUGUCACCAGGCGUGGGAGCUGCCGCUGACACCGUUACCAGAGCAGGUCAGGCUGCCGUGACCUUCAGAGUCAGCUUCCCCGACCUGACUUUGUCACACCGUUUGCUUCAGAAAACUGAGUCAGGGUUUUAGAUUUUUCCAGGGAUGUCACAGAAUCCCCUUUUCAACGCUGGCAUUAAGGUCUGUAUUAAUACGGGGAACUCUGCAGUCUGGCAGUGUCCAUCGUCUGAAGUAAGUCCCUGUUGUGUUUGUGCAUCCGGUGUUGGGGGUGUGGGGCGUGGCGUGGCAACUAGAAGGGAAAGUUUCACCUUGUACAGAUGUGCUGGGUAAAGCUUAUUAAGAAAUAUACGGACUGUCGUCUGUCCUAAGCAUGUUAAUAACCAUUGUAUCUACCACAGCUGAGAACUAAGUUACAAAACUGCAGUCCUGAGUGUUUGUGUUAUUUUAAAUAUCUGAUGCAGAGCCUUCAGCCAAUAAAGAGUGUGUCUUUAAUACAA